UUGAUCCGUAGGAUUCUCCCAGCUUCGCUUUCUUCGCUUGCUUUUCCUUCUCAGAUGGUCCUCGUGGUCGCUUCAUGAAUUUGGGAGGAUGAUCUGGCAGCUGGCUUAAGUUGAAGUCUGAGAACUCUACUCCUUGUUUUCGCAGAUCAUCUAAGUAAUACAAGAUUACCUCUGGAGGGUCGAUCUUUGAGAACAGAUAGAGUCCAUUUGGGAUCUUCCUCUGAUCUUU
rnacentral:lncRNA from 1 species